AUGGGUGAGAAGGUGCACUGGCCGUCACAUAAACACAUAGAUGUUUACACCAAGGAUCUGAUUAGGCAACUAAGGGAAAACAAUGUCAAUUUGGGAAAGGUGUACAACAUAAUUGGGAGUUUCUUCGGGUCUGUUGAGAAGGUGCCAUUCACAAAGAGGACACUCGGGAAUAUAUGUGGAAAGAUUAGCCGUGAACAAGCUGACAAUGAUGUCUGGAAAACGCUUGAAGUGUUUGCUGACAUACGUUCAAGAGAUUCAGGGUUCACCUAUGUGGUGCUGGCUGACAAGACAAGUAAGGUCAAAAAUCUAAUGUGGGCGAAUGGCAGCAGCCGUAUGCAAUACAAAUUCUUUGGGGAUGUGGUAACGUUUGACACGACGUACAGAACAAACCUGUAUGAUAUGCCGUUCGGGUUAUUUGUCGGAGUUAACAAUCAUUACCAGAGCAUCAUCCUGGCGGGGGUGUUAAUGCGCGAUGAUCAAGAAGAGAGCUUCGAGUGGGUUUUCGCGGAAUUUCUUCGUAUGAUGGGCGGGCCUGCCCCCAGAACUAUACUCACAGACCAGUGUAGGGCGAUGGAGGUCACGAUCAGGAGAACUUAUCGUGACACUGUCCACCGUUGGUGCAAGUGGCAUGUCCUCAAGAAGGCGAAGGAAACGUUGGGCCCACUAUACACGAAGAAGAGCGAUUUUCAGGCUGAAUUUCACAAGGUAGUGAACCACAUGUUAACGGAAGAAGAGUUCGAAUCAGCUUGGGCAGCGCUGCUGGAUAAGUACAACUUGAGGAGUCACGCCUACAUGACACAAAUAUAUGAAACCCGGAGGAAAUGGGCCAAGCCAUAUUUCAGGCGUGUGUUUUGCGCAAAGAUGGCAAGCACCCAGCGCAGUGAGAGCGCAAACCACAUGCUGAAGUCAUACAUGCCCCCUGCAAGCCCAAUGCAUGUCUUUGUCAGGCAGUAUAUGAGGCUGCAAUUUGACAGAGAGCGCGAUGAAAGCUACAAGGAGAAGAGGACCAUGAUAGGGGCCCGGUAA
rnacentral:rRNA from 1 species